rnacentral:misc_RNA from 1 species
GUUGGAGGAUGUUUGAGGGAGUUGGGUUUUUUCAAUAAGAAGAAUUAGAGGUGGGUUUUGCAUCAAUGGGUUGGAAGAGAUCUUCGAGGAACGGCAAUUUGAGGAUCUGGGUGCAGGUUUUAGUCGGAUUCGUGAUCUGCGCAGCCCAAGUUCUUUUCGGAAUUACGAAUCCAGGGGAUUUUUCUGCUAUUAGUAGCUUACAUACCGCACUGGGACUCCCCAGUCUUCCUGGAUGGGGCAUCGGGCAAGACCCAUGCGGAGACGCAUGGCAGGGUGUUGUGUGUAAUGAUUCGAGCAUCAUUAAAAUAAUCAUUAAUGCUGCUAAUUUGGGAGGUGAACUUGGUGACAACUUGGGAUUGUUUUCUUCGAUUCAAACAAUUGAUUUAAGCAACAAUCAUAUAGGGGGAAGUAUACCAUCCAGUUUACCUGUUACCAUGCAGAACUUUUUUCUUUCA